ACGGAAGGCAGCAGUGGGGAAUAUUGCACAAUGGGGGAAACCCUGAUGCAGCGACGCCGCGUGAAGGAAGAAGUAUCUCGGUAUGUAAACUUCUAUCAGCAGGGAAGAUAGUGACGGUACCUGACUAAGAAGCCCCGGCUAACUACGUGCCAGCAGCCGCGGUAAUACGUAGGGGGCAAGCGUUAUCCGGAUUUACUGGGUGUAAAGGGAGCGUAGACGGUGUGGCAAGUCUGAUGUGAAAGGCAUGGGCUCAACCUGUGGACUGCAUUGGAAACUGUCAUACUUGAGUGCCGGAGGGGUAAGCGGAAUUCCUAGUGUAGCGGUGAAAUGCGUAGAUAUUAGGAGGAACACCAGUGGCGAAGGCGGCUUACUGGACGGUAACUGACGUUGAGGCGCGAAAGCGUGGGGAGCGAACAGGAUUAGAUACCCUGGUA
rnacentral:rRNA from 1 species